GACGGAAGGUGCAAGCGUUGUUCGGAUUCAUUGGGCGUAAAGGGUGCGUAGGCGGCGCGGUAAGUCGGGUGUGAAAUCUCGGAGCUUAACUCCGAAACUGCAUUCGAUACUGCCGUGCUUGAGGACUGGAGAGGAGACUGGAAUUUACGGUGUAGCGGUGAAAUGCGUAGAUAUCGUAAGGAAGACCAGUGGCGAAGGCGGGUCUCUGGACAGUUCCUGACGCUGAGGCACGAAGGUCAGGGGAGCAAACGGG
rnacentral:rRNA from 1 species